GGGACUGUAGAUUCACUGUCACCUUACUUAGUGGGACUCCUGGACAUACAACAAUUCCCAAAAUGAGAGCACUGUUCCACCAGCAGACUUUCCAUCUGGGUGGUCCUGGCUUUUAUUCCUGGUAAACACCAUUUGAA
rnacentral:lncRNA from 12 species